rnacentral:rRNA from 1 species
UGGUGUGAUCAUACCAGCACUGAAGCACCAGAUCCCAUCAGAACUCUGAAGUUAAGCGUGCUUAGGUGAGAUUCCAUCAGAACACUGAAGUUAAGCGUGCUUAGGUGAGAGUAGUACUAUGAUGGGUGACCUCCUGGGAUGUCCUCGUGUUGCAUCCC